rnacentral:rRNA from 1 species
UACGGGGGGGGCAAGCGUUGUUCGGAAUUACUGGGCGUAAAGGGCUCGUAGGUGGCCAACUAAGUCAGACGUGAAAUCCCUCGGCUUAACCGGGGAACUGCGUCUGAUACUGGAUGGCUUGAGAUUGGGAGAGGGAUGCGGAAUUCCAGGUGUAGCGGUGAAAUGCGUAGAUAUCUGGAGGAACACCAGUGGCGAAAGCGCGUGACUGGGCCACAACUGACGCUGAGGAACGAAAGCCAGGGGAGCGAAAGGG